rnacentral:lncRNA from 12 species
CCCGGGUUGCUCACAGAAUGAAACUGAAAACUCGUCAUUGGGCUAUGAAGACAGUCUCAAGGAGAAGCCAUGGGAGGAACAGAUUUUGACUGCAGUCCUUCUUGGACUCGUCCUGACUCCAG